CCGAGUUUACAACUCCAAACCCAAUGUGAACGUUACCAAACUGUUGCCUCGGCGGGGUCACGCCCCGGGUGCGUAAAAGCCCCGGAACCAGGCGCCCGCCGGAGGAACCAACCAAACUCUUUCUGUAGUCCCCUCGCGGACGUAUUUCUUACAGCUCUGAGCAAAAAUUCAAAAUGAAUCA
rnacentral:misc_RNA from 1 species